AUUGAAAUAAAUGCAGCAGUGAUUUAAAAAGACUUAAAUAACCUGAUGCUUAUGUACCUGUGAUCAUCAUGUGAAAGUCAGGUUUGGUGUAUUGUGUAAUUCUGUGAUUACCACAUUUCUGGCAUCGUGACAGCCCUGCUCUCUCCACCUGCACAGAGAGUGAGACACCUGAUGGUAUGCUGAGUGUAAUCAAUGAGAGAACAGAGUCCAAAAUUUACACAAACGAAAGAAAUAUAUAGUCAGAAUCAAAAUCACUGAUUUCCAUUUCACUCUUUGAGGUCACAAAGAUGCUCUGAGAUCUUCUUCCACAGCCUAACACAACCAUUCCUUUCCCCAGGCCAUCACUGACCACCACGAAACUGGUCAUGUUUGUGCCUCCAGACUCCUUCAUGUCUGUCACGUUUCCUCAGUAUAGACCUGAGUACCCUCAGAAACAUGCCUCAGUAGCUUCAGUAGGUGGAGGUCACUUUGUAGGGCUCUGGCAACGCUCCUCCUCUUCCUCCCUGCAGAAAACCUGUGGAGCUUGAAUCUGCUGCAGAUACUGUCUCAUGCCAUCAGCAGAGAAGAGGACAAUAACAAAAAGUAAACCAGAGAAAAGUCAGGAGGAGGGAUAAGAGCAGAGUGUUACCACUAUGGGGCUUUGCCUUGCUCUUGUCUUCUCAGGAUACAUGUUGUUGCCCUAAUUUGCACCAAUGCAGCUGAAAUGGAUUCAUAGUGGUUUAUGUCUCUGAACUGAUGCUUGCCUCAGUGUCCUGACACAUGCUCAGUCACAGAGGGAAGGAAAGCCCGGAAAGUUGAUUCUUUGCACGUUGAUGUUGCAUUUUCAGUCUCUAAGGCUGAAGAAGUCACAUAGGUGUUUGUCUUUGACUUUGACAUAUUGGGACGUGGCCAGCAGGGGACUGAGCAGAAACAGUUUGUAACAUGGUGUGUAAUAUUCACCUGGCAGGGUCCCCUCGCCCCCGAGGGGGGCUGCUGGUCCUGUUUUCACUCAGCUGCAUGCUGUUCUCGUCUCUGGCAGAGAGUAAGUGCCCUCAUUUACACCUUAGCUUUAUCAUCAUCCAAUAAAACAUUAUGCUUCAUGAGUAUUUUGACACAAAGUGCAUUUUAUGCUGUAAUUAGUGCAGUGAUCAGUGGCUCACCUGCAGCAGAUUUCAAGGAGCUCUGUUCAUUUAAAGGAAUGAUAUAGAUAUUUAAUGUUCAACUUAUUGCACUAAUUUGUUGCACUUUGACUGAUUACAUGAAGAGAACAAACCUUCAUGCCGUGGAGUGUGUAGAACAGACUCACACUGCACAGCAGAAAGCGCUCCAUUAGACUUUUACUUUUGUGGUACCUCUGGGUGUCGGGGACAGCCAGGCAGCACCGCCCAGUGGGGACGGGGUUGGGGACCUCACCUAUACUGCUGUCAUAGGGUCACUGUAAUAUAAUUAAGAGCCAAUCCCCUCCUGUUUCCCACCUGACUAUGGGAACUGCUCCAUCCUCUAAAGCAUGUAUUGUGUUGUCUUUUGUGGUGUCUAAGAUGUCAGGUCAUACAUUUAAAAGGAUUUCCUGAACUUCUUUAGACUAAAAAGAUGUUGAUUUAGGUUUUUUAAAACCUACUUAGAACCCAAACACUGGGCAAAAACAUAGAGUGCAGUACAGAAAAAUAGUCUGAUGCGAGCUGUUCUAUUGAAUGUACAAGUUCAACAAAAACAGGGAGUUCACCUGAAGCUCGUUCGUUCAUAAUGUAAAUUUGAAACGCCAAUUAUUCCCCA
ensembl:lncRNA